CGAAAGUUUCUAACUUUCCUGCGGUUCCGCAGCGUUUUCCGGCGACCGUUUGUCGUGCAUGAGGUAUGAAAUGUGAUCUGCUCUCCGAGCUCUACAUGUCUGUAUACUUAUUUUUCUGUUUCGGUUGCGUAUUGACGGAUUAAUUGAUGAUUUGUGUUUUUCGGUGUCAUCGGAGUUCAUUGUCCACGGCGGCUUUUCUUGUGAUUCUGGGUUCAUUCCCAAUGAUUAUUGUCGUCCUAGAGCUAGAAUUGGAGCUCGAUCGAAAUGUGAAGCUGAAAAAGAAAUCCUAAGAGUUGGGUCAUCUGUGAUCAUGCCUGGGUUCGAGAACUUAAGGCAAUACGGUGUUUACGCACUGCUGGUGUGUUUGUGUCAAGUGCAAAUGCGUGGGUUUGUACAAUUACUACAAGUAAAGAGUUCGUGUUUGGAGUGCUAGUUGAGCGGCGGAGUCUUCACAGAUCGAGGGACUCCAGUUACCCGAAAUGUGAAACGUGGUGGUGUUGGCCUAGGAAAGCGAAUGGGUUCAGAGCUGCAAUGUUUCAGGUAGGGUAUUCCAGACUCACCUCAGACCCUCAGUUAGCGAUUUUUAUGCAUAUGUUUUUAUCGUAAAUACUUGAUGCAUGAAAAAUCUAUAUUUGGUGGUCUAUGAUUUACUGUUUGAUGACCUGAGAGUGAGAGGAGCAUAGCGACUUCCUUGGGCUUCGAUCCCCUAAACCUCCGGAGGGGCUGUAUGGACUGAAGAGUGUCUGACAUCCUUUUAGGUGUGGCACUACUUCUAGGUGAUACGGCGUAAGUGGACACUCUGGCUACACCUUGUCGGUGUAAACGAUAUUAAUCGUGGUAAGGUUGUAGUUGGCAUAGCGAUCGGUCAUCAGGUCUAUUUCAUUCUUCUGGGCCCUACUACAUUUUUAUAAAUGAACAACGGUUGUUCGUGGUUUCGAACAUGUUUAUUUAUAUGCACU